rnacentral:tRNA from 1 species
GGUUGUGGCUCAAUGGUAGAGUGCUUGCCUAGCACACAUGAGGCACUGGGUUCAAUUCUCAGCACCA